rnacentral:rRNA from 1 species
AACGUAGGAUCCGAGCGUUAUCCGAAUUUACUGGGCGUAAAGCGCGUGCAGGCGGUUUGGUAAGUUGGAUGUGAAAGCUCCUGGCUCAACUGGGAGAGGUUGUUCAAAACUGCCAGACUAGAGGAUGGUAGAGGGAGGUGGAAUUCCGGGUGUAGUGGUGAAAUGCGUAGAUAUCCGGAGGAACACCAGUGGCGAAGGCGGCCUCCUGGGCCAUUCCUGACGCUCAGACGCGAAGGCUAGGGUAGCGAACGGG